CCCGGUGAUAUUUUAACGGCCGCAGUUAAAAGCUGUGCUAAGGUAGCGUAGUCAGUUGUCCUUUAAAUGGGGAAAGGAAUGAAUGGUUUGACGUGGGAAAAUCUGUCUCUGGCAAAAAAAAAGAAAUUUUCUUUUUGGUGAAAAGCCCAAAGUCUUAUUAAAAGACGAGAAGACCCUUUCGAGCUUAAUUAAAUUUUAAAAUAUUUUAAAAGGAAAAUUUGGUUGGGGCAACCUAGGAACAAAAUAAGAUUCCUUGCAGCUAUAGGGAGCCAAAAAUUUUGAUAUAAAGAAAAAGCUACCGUAGGGAUAACAGCGUUAUCUUUUCUGAGAGAACAUAUUGAAGAGAAG
rnacentral:rRNA from 1 species